GAUGAACGCCGGCGGUGUGCCUAAUACAUGCAAGUCGUACGCACUGGCCCAACUGAUUGAUGGUGCUUGCACCUGAUUGACGAUGGAUCACCAGUGAGUGGCGGACGGGUGAGUAACACGUAGGUAACCUGCCCCGGAGCGGGGGAUAACAUUUGGAAACAGAUGCUAAUACCGCAUAACAACAAAAGCCACAUGGCUUUUGUUGAAAGAUGGCUUUGGCUAUCACUCUGGGAUGGACCUGCGGUGCAUUAGCUAGUUGGUAAGUAACGGCUUACCAAGGCGAUGAUGCAUAGCCGAGUUGAGAGACUGAUCGGCCACAAUGGGAACUGAGACACGGUCCAUACCCCCUAGGGAGGCAGCAGUGAGGAAUAUUGGUCAAUGGACGCGAGUCUGAACCAGCCAAGUAGCGU
rnacentral:rRNA from 1 species